GGUUGCUAGGCAACCUGGGCAGCGCGACGGAGGCUUGACCGUCCCAUUUCACAAGCCUACAAGCCUCGCACUUCCGGCCUCAGCGGUCUUUGAGUACGCGGCCCUUGAGGACCGUUAAGGCUGCAUACUUUAAGGCUGCAGACCCUGAAUUGGGAUACAGCCGUACAUACAUGUUUUGGUUCGUGCAACUGGUCCGUCUGGUUAUUGUCUCCCCAGAAACAUUUCCAUUGUGUUGUGUGUGCUUUUGCAGCAUUUUUCUUUUUGCAGCAUUUUUCUUUUUGCAGCGUUUUUCUUUUUGCAGCAUUUUUCUUUUUGCAAGUGUUUUUCUUUUUGCAGCAUUUUUCUUUUUGCAAGUGUUUUUCUUUUUGCAGCAUUUUUCUUUUUGCAACAUUUUUCUUUUUGGAGGUGUUUUUCUUUUUGCAAGUGUUUUUCUUUUUGCAGCAUUUUUCUUUUUGCAGCAUUUUUCUUUUUGCAAGUGUUUUUCUUUUUGCAGCACUUUUCUUUUUGCAGCAUUUUUCUUUUUGCAAGUGUUUUUCUUUUUGCAAGUGUUUUUCUUUUUGCAGCAUUUUUCUUUUUGCAGCAUUUUUCUUUUUGCAAGUGUUUUUCUUUUUGCAAGUGUUUUUCUUUUUGCAAGUGUUUUUCUUUUUGCAGCAUUUUUCUUUUUGCAGCAUUUUUCUUUUUGCAAGUGUUUUUCUUUUUGCAAGUGUUUUUCUUUUUGCAGCAUUUUUCUUUUUGCAAGUGUUUUUCUUUUUGCAAGUGUUUUUCUUUUUGCAAGUGUUUUUCUUUUUGCAGCAUUUUUCUUUUUGCAGCAUUUUUCUUUUUGCAAGUGUUUUUCUUUUUGCAAGUGUUUUUCUUUUUGCAGCAUUUUUCUUUUUGCAAGUGUUUUCUGAAGUUGCAGUCCGUUUGGCCUCUCAGGGCCACCGUAAAAAACCCAAUUUCUGCCGUUCAAUACUGAACAAAUUUAAACUUUUUAAAAUUAUGCAAAAUGCAAAACGCUUAGCUGUGUCGCUAAUAAAACCGCUGGAACUUCAGAGGCAACGUUCAUAUGUUGAUUAAUCGUUUUCUUUCAUUUUUGAUGUACUGCAGAAUAUUUUUUAUAAAAUCCCAGGCCAGGAAAAAUCACCUUCAUGUUUUUCUGUGUUUUAUCUUCAGCUACUUUUACACAAAGGCAUCUGCUGUGACGCUUACACCUUUGAUAAAGUCUUGCGUGUGUCAGCUUCCUUUUUUUAGAUACAAAAAUAUGUAAAUGUACUGAUCUGAAUUAUAAUAUUUCUGACUGUCAAAAUUUCCCAGAAUCAAAUCGAAUUGAAUUGAAUCGAAUUGAAUCGAAUCGUGGAAGGAAUCAAUUCUGGACCUUAGUGAGACAGCUGCAUUACUUAACAAUAUAUUAGCCUCAGCAUAAGUCAAAAUUUAGAAUAGCAGGAGACGGGCAGUAUCCUGGUUAUUUUUUUGGCAUAUGUGCUUUUUGUCUUUUUUAGCAAAGAAAAAAAAUAUCUUAAAAUCAUCAAU
ensembl:lncRNA